AUAUAAUUUUAAUGACCAGAGGAGCAAUUUUGUGUUUUGACUAAUCCCUGUUUUUACCCUUGUUGCAUCUUGUGCCAAUGUGUAUGUUGAAAUAUGUCUAUAAGCUCUUGUCUAUAAUGUUUCUGUAACGUUUUCAGAUGUCUUCGCCUUCUCCUUCGGUUUGCAGUCGAAGUACCCCCUCCUUUCACAUGCAGGGACACUCCGACACUGAAUCCUCUGCUGGCGAGGAAUUGCGUUUUUCUCCUGAACCAAUGGAGUCAACACAGGAGGGUACACAUUCAAUAGAAAAUCCGC